GAGUUCGAUUAUGGCUCAAGAUUGAACGCUGGCGGGUCUGUUUACAUGCAAGUCAACGGCAGCACGGACUUCGGUCUGGUGGCGAGUGGCGAACGGGUGAGUAAUGUAUCGGAACGUGCCUAGUAGCGGAGAUGCGCUUUACGCCAGCGCAGCUAAUACCGCAUACGCCCUUCGGGGGAAAGCAGGACCCUUCGAGGCAUCACUAUUAGAGCAGCCGAUAUCGGAUUAGCUAGUUGGUGGGGUAACGGCUCACCAAGGGCGACGAUCCGUAGCUGGUUUGAAGGGACGACCAGCCACGCAGGACUGAGACACGGCCCAGACUCCUGCGGGAGGCAACAGUGGGGAAUUUUGGACAAUGGGGAAACCCUGAUCAAUAUCCCGCGUAUUGCGAUGAAGGCCUUCGGGUUGUAAAGCACUUUGGCAGGGGAAAGAAACGGCGCGGGAUAAUACGUGCAGCGGCGGUACCUGCAGAAUAAGCACCGGCUAACUACGUGCCAGCAGCCGCGGUAAUACAGUAGGGUGCAAGCGUUAAUCGAAUUACUGGGCGUAAAGCGUGCGCAGGCGGUUUCGGAAGAAGAUGUGAAAUCCCAGAGCCUUUGGAACUGCAUUUUUAACUACCGAGCUAGAGUGUGUCAGAGGAGGUGGAAUUCCGCGUGUAGCAGUGAAAUGCGUAGAUAUGCGGAGGAACACCGAUGGCGACAGCCUCCUGGGAUAACACACUGACGCUCAUGCACGAAAAGCGUGGGGAGCAAACGGGAUUAGAUACCCUGGUAGUCCGCUAAACGAUGUCAACUAGCUGUUGGGACAGCCGGGCCUUGGUAGCGCAGCUAACGCGUGAAGUUGACCGCCUGGGAAGUACGGUCGCAAGAUUAAAACUCAAAGGAAUUGACGGGGACACACAAGCGGUGGAUGAUGUGGAUUAAUUCGAUGCAACGCGAAAAACCUUACCCUACCCUUGACAUGUCUGGAAUCCCGAAGAGAUUUGGGAGUGCUCGCAAGAGAACCGGAACACAGGUGCUGCAUGGCUGUCGUCAGCUCGUGUCGUGAGAUGUUGGGUUAAGUCCCGCAACGAGCGCAACCCUUGUCAUUAGUUGCUACGAAAGGGCACUCUAAUGAGACUGCCGGUGACAAACCAAGGAAGGUGGGGAUGACGUCAAGUCCUCAUGGCCCUUAUGGGUGAGGGCUUCACACGUCAUACAAUGGUCGGGACAGAGGGUCGCCAACCCGCGGUAUUAGAGAGCGAUCGUAGUCGGAUCGCAGUCUGCAACUCGACUGCGUGAAGUCAGAAUCGCUAGUAAUCGCGGAUCAGCAUGUCGCGGUGAAUACGUUCCCGGGUCUUGUACACACCGCCCGUCACACCAUGGGAGUGGGUUUUACCAGAAGUAGUUAGCCUAACCGGCUAAGGAGGGCGAUUACCACGGUAGGAUUCAUGACUGGGGUGAAGUCGUAACAAAAGGUAG
rnacentral:rRNA from 1 species